UACGGAGGAUCCGAGCGUUAUCCGGAUUUAUUGGGUUUAAAGGGAGCGUAGGCGGGUUGUUAAGUCAGUUGUGAAAGUUUGCGGCUCAACCGUAAAAUUGCAGUUGAUACUGGCAUCCUUGAGUACAGUAGAGGUAUGCGGAAUGCGCAGUGUAGCGGUGAAAUGCUUAGAUAUUGCGCAGAACUCCGAUUGCGAAGGCAGCAUACCGGCGGCGAUCUGACGCUGAGGCACGAAAGCGUGGGUAUCGAACAGG
rnacentral:rRNA from 1 species